rnacentral:lncRNA from 1 species
AAUUCCAUAAUGCCAAUGAUCAGCAUUUUCCUUUUUAUCACCUUGCUUAUUAAUAGAAAAUUUAUAACACUUAGAUGAUUAAAUUCCUAAAGUCAGAAGGAUUAUUUUGUCUGGAACAUGAUAUGAUCCGUUAUGAUAUCGUUAUGAUGAUUUUUAUAGUAAUUUCAGCUUAAUUAAUCUUGUGGGGCUAAUGACUGACUCUAU